AGAAACCACUCCACCACCAUAAGGUCUUUGGGGCAAGAUCAGGCACAAAGCAAACGCCCACAUCAAGAUGAAAGGGUGCUUUGGCACUGAAGCAGGGAACUGACGCGGGGAGAGUCUCACGGAGGAGUGAUCCAGAAAAGAAGGAGGAAAUCCAUGACCCAGGAAAGGAAGGAAAAUUGGUGGGGCAUUGCCUUUCAAAAUAAAAAUAUUGGAUUUUGUGCAAAACAUGGAAAUACUUUUUUGGAGAGGAACUUGGACAAUUCAUUCAUGCUAACACAUAAGCAGUAAACUAUGAAUGCAGACUUAGGACCCUGUGAUUUUCCUGGGAAAUUGGAUUCUAAAAAUCUGUUCUAAUCCAGUAUCACUUCUAUAAGUGCAACAUCUGCUCACAGUCCCAGCGUUCUGUGAGAGGAAGCAG